rnacentral:rRNA from 2 species
AUGUGCUGCUUCUAAUCGUCCUCAGGACAAUUAUUGACCAUUUGACCUCAAAUCAGGUAGGACUACCCGCUGAACUUAAGCAUAUCAAUAAGCGGAGGA